rnacentral:rRNA from 1 species
CGGCACCCCUCCUCGGAGGGAAGCGAGUGGCGAACGGCUGAGUAACACGUGGAGAACCCGCCCCCCUCCUCCGGGAUAGCCUCGGGAAACCGUGGGUAAUACCGGAUGACCCCGCAGGGCCGCAUGGCCCCGCGGGCAAAGCCCAGACGGGAGGGGAUGGCUCCGCGGCCCAUCAGGUAGACGGCGGGGUGACGGCCCACCGUGCCGACGACGGGUAGCCGGGUUGAGAGACCGACCGGCCAGAUUGGGACUGAGACACGGCCCAG